CGGAGACACACGUAAGAGCCCCAGAGGCCUCAGAAAAAGCCCAGACAGGCCGAAGAAAUAAAAUGCCUUGGGAAGGCCUUGAGCACCUACCGCCUCCACUCUCCUGAGCUGAAGUCCCAGCACCCCAUGAAGGGGAUGCAGCUGCCCUGCAACUUCUCCAGUGCUGCCCACCGGCACAACAUGGGUGGCCUGCAAGCUGUGCUGAUUGCUAUCCCCGC
rnacentral:lncRNA from 1 species